rnacentral:rRNA from 1 species
GAUGAACGCUGGCGGCGUGCCUAACACAUGCAAGUUGAACGGGGCAAUAUUAACGGAUUCCUUCGGGAUGAAGACUAUAUUGGCUAGUGGCAAACGGGUGAGUAACACGUGAGUAAUCUACCUUUAACUGGGGAACAACCUAGAGAAAUCUAGGCUAAUACCGCAUAUGCUUACAAGACCGCAUGGUCAAGUAAGGAAAGAUUUAUCGGUUAAAGAUGAGCUCGCGUCUGAUUAGUUAGUUGGUGGGGUAAUGGCUCACCAAGACCGCAAUCAGUAACCGGCCUGAGAGGGCGGACGGUCACACUGGGACUGAGAUACGGCCCAGACUCCUACGGGAGGCAGCAGUGGGGAAUAUUGCACAAUGGACGAAAGUCUGAUGCAGCGACGUCGCGUGAAGGAUGAAGUAUUUCGGUACGUAAACUUCAAGCAGCAGGGACGAAACAAUGACGGUACCUGACUAAAAGCACCGGCUAACUACGUGCCAGCCGCCGCUGUAAAACCU